rnacentral:tRNA from 1 species
CCGGUAGCUCAGUCGGUUAGAGUGCAGCUCUGAUAAAGCUGAGGUCGGAGGUUCGAAUCCUCCCCGGCC